UACGGAGGGGGCGAGCGUUAUUCGGAAUUAUUGGGCGUAAAGGGCGCGUAGGCGGCUGUACAAGUCAAAGGUGAAAUCCCUCGGCUCAACUGAGGAACUGCCUUUGAAACUGUACGGCUUGAGGCCGGGAGGGGGUAGCGGAAUUCCCAGUGUAGCGGUGAAAUGCGUAGAUACUGGGAGGAACACCGGUGGCGAAGGCGGUUCUCUGGGCCUUACCUGACGCUGAGGAGCGAAAGCGUGGGGAGCGAACAGG
rnacentral:rRNA from 1 species